UACGUAGGGUGCAAGCGUUAAUCGGAAUUACUGGGCGUAAAGCGUGCGCAGGCGGUUAUGCAAGACAGAGGUGAAAUCCCCGGGCUCAACCUGGGAACUGCCUUUGUGACUGCAUGGCUAGAGUACGGUAGAGGGGGAUGGAAUUCCGCGUGUAGCAGUGAAAUGCGUAGAGAUGUGGAGGAACACCGAUGGCGAAGGCAGCCCCCUGGGUCAAGACUGACGCUCAUGCACGAAAGCGUGGGGAGCAAACAGG
rnacentral:rRNA from 1 species